AUGGGUAGAAGUAAGGUCAAUCCUAUUUGGUGUAAGAUCUGGAAAUUAGCUUGUCCGGCGAAGGUUAAAUUUUUUAUUUGGCGGACGCUCCAUGGGACUCUACCGUGUCGCGUUACACUGGCCAACAGACAUAUAAAAACUCAGCCAAUAUGCCCAGCAUGUUUGGAUGGGCAAGAGGGCUCGAAACAUGUAUUAUUUCUGUGCCAGAAGGAAAAAGAAGUGUGGGAAUAUUUGGGGCUGUAUGAAGUGGUAAAAGCCUGCGUCAUUGACCGUGCGGGAGAGGCAGUCCUUGAAUUCUUACUCCUUAUGCCUGAUCAUGAAUUACCUAUCUUGGGCUCCCGGAAUGCAGGGGAACUAAUCGCUAUAGCUGCUUGGUAUUUAUGGUGGAAUAGA
rnacentral:rRNA from 1 species